AACGAACGCUGGCGGCAUGCCUAACACAUGCAAGUCGAACGAGACCUUCGGGUCUAGUGGCGAACGGGUGCGUAACGCGUGGGAACCUGCCCUUAGGUUCGGAAUAACUCCCCGAAAGGGGUGCUAAUACCGGAUAAUGUCUUCGGACCAAAGAUUUAUCGCCUUUGGAUGGGCCCGCGUUGGAUUAGCUAGUUGGUAGGGUAAAAGCCUACCAAGGCGACGAUCCAUAGCUGGUCUGAGAGGAUGAUCAGCCACACUGGGACUGAGACACGGCCCAGACUCCUACGGGAGGCAGCAGUGGGGAAUAUUGGACAAUGGGCGAAAGCCUGAUCCAGUAAUGCCGCGUGAGUGAUGAAGGCCUUAGGGUUGUAAAGCUCUUUUACCCGGGAUGAUAAUGACAGUACCGGGAGAAUAAGCUCCGGCUAACUCCGUG
rnacentral:rRNA from 1 species